rnacentral:rRNA from 1 species
AUUGAACGCUGGCGGCAUGCUUUACACAUGCAAGUCGAACGGUAACAGGUCUUCGGAUGCUGACGAGUGGCGAACGGGUGAGUAAUACAUCGGAACGUGCCUAGUAGUGGGGGAUAACUACUCGAAAGAGUAGCUAAUACCGCAUGAGAUCUACGGAUGAAAGCAGGGGACCUUCGGGCCUUGUGCUACUAGAGCGGCUGAUGGCAGAUUAGGUAGUUGGUGGGGUAAAGGCUUACCAAGCCUGCGAUCUGUAGCUGGUCUGAGAGGACGACCAACCACACUGGGACUGAGACACGGCCCAGACUCCUACGGGAGGCAGCAGUGGGGAAUUUUGGACAAUGGGCGAAAGCCUGAUCCAGCAAUGCCGCGUGCAGGAUGAAGGCCCUCGGGUUGUAAACUGCUUUUGUACGGAACGAAAAGCCUGGGGCUAAUACCCCCGGGUCAUGACGGUACCGUAAGAAUAAGCACCGGCUAACUACGUGCCAGCAGCCGCGGUAAUACGUAGGGUGCAAGCGUUAAUCGGAAUUACUGGGCGUAAAGCGUGCGCAGGCGGUUUUGUAAGACAGUGGUGAAAUCCCCGGGCUCAACCUGGGAACUGCCAUUGUGACUGCAAGGCUAGAGUGCGGCAGAGGGGGAUGGAAUUCCGCGUGUAGCAGUGAAAUGCGUAGAUAUGCGGAGGAACACCGAUGGCGAAGGCAAUCCCCUGGGCCUGCACUGACGCUCAUGCACGAAAGCGUGGGGAGCAAACAGG